UACGUAGGGGGCAAGCGUUGUCCGGAAUCAUUGGGCGUAAAGAGCGUGUAGGCGGUCCUGUAAGUCCGCUGUGAAAGUCAAGGGCUCAACCCUUGAAUGCCGGUGGAUACUGCAGGACUAGAGUCCGGAAGAGGCGAGUGGAAUUCCUGGUGUAGCGGUGAAAUGCGCAGAUAUCAGGAGGAACACCGAUGGCGAAGGCAGCUCGCUGGGACGGUACUGACGCUGAGACGCGAAAGCGUGGGGAGCAAACAGG
rnacentral:rRNA from 1 species